CCCUACGGGGGGCAGCAGUGGGGGAUAUUGCACAAUGGGGGGAACCCUGAUGCAGCGACGCCGCGUGGGUGAAGAAGCGCCUCGGCGCGUAAAGCCCUGUCAGCAGGGAAGAAAAUGACGGUACCUGAAGAAGAAGCCCCGGCUAACUACGUGCCAGCAGCCGCGGUAAUACGUAGGGGGCAAGCGUUAUCCGGAUUUACUGGGUGUAAAGGGGGCGCAGACGGCGAUGCAAGCCAGGAGUGAAAGCCCGGGGCCCAACCCCGGGACUGCUCUUGGAACUGCGUGGCUGGGGUGCAGGAGGGGCG
rnacentral:rRNA from 1 species